UAAGAUCUUGAUUGGUGUACCAGUAGUGGU
rnacentral:piRNA from 1 species